AGAGUAGAUUCGAGCCGGGAUGACUUGCCGGCAAUCUGCAUCAUAAAAAUCAUAUGUUAUUGCAGGCAGGUCAUCCCGUCUCACAUUUGCUCU
rfam:Lupinus angustifolius cultivar Tanjil contig_17001, whole genome shotgun sequence.